GACGAACGCUGGCGGCGUGCUUAACACAUGCAAGUCGAACGGAAAGGCCUGCAGCUUGCUGCGGGUACUCGAGUGGCGAACGGGUGAGUAACACGUGGGUGAUCUGCCUUGCACUUCGGGAUAAGCUUGGGAAACUGGGUCUAAUACCGGAUAGGACAGCUGUUUAGUGUCAGUUGUGGAAAGUUUUUUCGGUGCAAGAUGAGCUCGCGGCCUAUCAGCUUGUUGGUGGGGUAAUGGCCUACCAAGGCGUCGACGGGUAGCCGGCCUGAGAGGGUGUACGGCCACAUUGGGACUGAGAUACGGCCCAGACUCCUACGGGAGGCAGCAGUGGGGAAUAUUGCACAAUGGGCGGAAGCCUGAUGCAGCGACGCCGCGUGGGGGAUGAAGGCCUUCGGGUUGUAAACUCCUUUCGACAGGGACGAAGCGUAAGUGACGGUACCUGUAUAAGAAGCACCGGCUAACUACGUGCCAGCAGCCGCGGUAAUACGUAGGGUGCGAGCGUUGUCCGGAAUUACUGGGCGUAAAGAGCUCGUAGGUGGUUUGUCGCGUCGUCUGUGAAAUUCCGGGGCUUAACUCCGGGCGUGCAGGCGAUACGGGCUGACUUGAGUGCUGUAGGGGAGACUGGAAUUCCUGGUGUAGCGGUGAAAUGCGCAGAUAUCAGGAGGAACACCGAUGGCGAAGGCAGGUCUCUGGGCAGUAACUGACGCUGAGGAGCGAAAGCAUGGGUAGCGAACAGGAUUAGAUACCCUGGUAGUCCAUGCCGUAAACGGUGGGCGCUAGGUGUAGGGGGCUUCCACGUCUUCUGUGCCGUAGCUAACGCAUUAAGCGC
rnacentral:rRNA from 1 species